AGUGGCGAACGGGCGCGUAACACGUGAGUAAUCUGCCGAGAAGUGGGGGAUAGCUCGCCGAAAGGAGAAUUAAUACCGCAUGUGACUAGUGAGGACAUCCUCACGACGUCGAAGCCGCAAGGCGCUUCUUGAUGAACUCGCGGCCUAUCAGCUAGUUGGUGAGGUAAUGGCUCACCAAGGCGAUGACGGGGAGCUGGUCUGAGAGGACGACCAGCCACACGGGAACUGAGACACGGUCCAGACACCUACGGGUGGCAGCAGUCGAGAAGUUUUCACAAUGGGGGCAACCCUGAUGGAGCGACGCCGCGUGGAGGAUGAAGGCCCUUGGAUCGUAAACUCCUGUCAUAAGAGAACAAGAAAGUGAUAGUAUCUUAAGAGGAAGAGACGGCUAACUCUGUGCCAGCAGCCG
rnacentral:rRNA from 1 species